UACAGAGGGUGCGAGCGUUAAUCGGAAUUACUGGGCGUAAAGCGUGCGUAGACGGUUAUGUAAGUCGGAUGUGAAAGCCCCGGGCUCAACCUGGGAAUGCCAUUCGAGACUGCAUAGCUAGGGUGCGGAAGAGGGAAGCGGAAUUUCCGGUGUAGCGGUGAAAUGCGUAGAUAUCAAGUGGAACACCAGUGGCGAAGGCGAGUCUCUGGACAUUUCCUGACGCUGAGGCACGAAAGCCAGGGGAGCAAACGGG
rnacentral:rRNA from 1 species